GAGAAUUAUGCUCAUAAAAAGUGUUCAGUGUUGAACCAACCAAAUGGGAUAUUUGCUCAGUGCCACCCUCAUAUCCCAACUGAAUACUACUACACGGCUUGCAUCCAAAGAAUAUGUAACUCUGAGUCAGAAAGAGGCCAUGUGUAUUGGUCUUGCCAGCUACGCCAAAACCUGCGCUGGUGUUGUAAUUGGAGACUGGAGGAGAUUCACGGGAUGUGAUUUGAAAUGCCAGAAGAACCAAGAAUGCACCAUGCACCUGCACUUCUCUGUCCGGCCAUGACAUCUGCUGUGACAUGAACGACAAUCCUGUGGAGGGUUGUGGCUAUCCGGAGGGAACUCACCUGAACCAAGGACAAAUAUGUUGCCCAAAGGAAGAGUGUGGUUGUAUUUACUAC
ensembl:lncRNA